rnacentral:rRNA from 1 species
UGCCAGCAGCCGCGGUAAUACGGAGGAUGCAAGCGUUAUCCGGAUUUAUUAGGUAUAAAGGGUGCGUAGGCGGACCUGUUAGUCAGUGGUGAAAUACUGCGGCUUAACCGUAGAACUGCCAUUGAUACUGCAGGUCUUGAGUACAGUUGAGGUAGGCGGAAUGUGUGGUGUAGCGGUGAAAUGCUUAGAUAUCACACAGAACACCGAUUGCGAAGGCAGCUUACUAAGUUGUAACUGACGCUGAUGCACGAAAGCAUGGGGAGCAAACAGGAUUAGAUACCCUGGUAGUCCAUGCCGUAAACGAUGAUCACUCGCUGUACGUCCAUUAGGAUGUGUGGCUGAGCUAACGCAUUAAGUGAUCCACCUGGGGAGUACGGCGGCAACGCUGAAACUCAAAUAAAUUGACGG